rnacentral:rRNA from 1 species
GACGAACGCUGGCGGCGUGCUUAACACAUGCAAGUCGAACGGGCCUGUCUUCUUUUUUGGGGGGUGGGUUGAGUGGCGAACGGGUGAGUAUCACGUGAGUAACCUGCCCUUCGGUCCUGGAUAACCGCUUGAAAGGGCGGCUAAUACGGGGUGGUCCGGUUGGUCCGCAUGGGCUGGUCGGGAUAGAUUCACUGUUUUUGGUGUUUCGGCGGGGGAUGGGCUCGCGGCCUAUCAGCUUGUUGGUGGGGUGAUGGCCUACCAAGGCGGUGACGGGUAGCCGGCCUGAGCGGGUGGGCGGCCACACUGGGACUGAGAUACGGCCCAGACUCCUGCGGGAGGCAGCAGUGGGGGGUAUUGCACAAUGGGCGGAAGCCUGAUGCAGCGACGUCGCGUGAGGGAUGGAGGCCUUCGGGUUGUGAACCUCUGUUUCCGGUGGUGAAGGCCCUGUCCGUGUGGUGGGGUUGACGGUAGCCGGGGAUGAAGCGCCGGCUAACUACGUG